CCUACGGGAGGCAGCAGUGAGGAAUAUUGGUCAAUGGACGCAAGUCUGAACCAGCCAAGCCGCGUGCAGGAAGACGGCUCUAUGAGUUGUAAACUGCUUUUGUACAAGGGUAAACGCAGAUACGCGUAUCUGUCUGAAAGUAUCGUACGAAUAAGGAUCGGCUAACUCCGUGCCAGCAGCCGCGGUAAUACGGAGGAUUCAAGCAUUAUCCGGAUUUAUUGGGUUGAAAGGGGGCGUAGGCGGUAGGUUAAGUUAGAGGUGAAAUCCCGAGGCUCAACUUCGGAAUUGCCUUUGAUACUGUCCGGCUAGAGAGUAGUUGCGGUAGGCGGAAUGUGUGGUGUAGCGGUGAAAUGCUUAGAGAUCAUACAGAACCCCGAUUGCGAAGGCAGCUUACCAAGCUACUUCUGACAUUGAGGCACGAAAGCGUGGGGAGCAAACAGGAUUAGAUACCCGAGUAGUC
rnacentral:rRNA from 1 species